rnacentral:rRNA from 1 species
AGAGUUCAAUAGUACGUGAAACCGUUCGGGGGUAAACGGACAGAGCCCGUGAAUCUGGGCGGCGGAAUUCAGGACGGCCGGCGUGCUCUCGCAGUACGUCGGUCGUUUGAUAUUUCCGUCGCCAACUAACCGCAGACGUCGCGACCUGUUCGCGGUCGGUCCCUGCUCGGAGGAGCCGCGAUCGAGUUCGUUGUGGGCGCGUCUUGCACGCGACACACGGCGAAGGCGCGGAUCUCUGGCUGGCCGUCGGACAGUAUGCUUAACGGUGUCCGGUGU